GGGGAUGUAAAGGUUUCGACGGGGAUUGUAAGCCUUAGUAAGCGAGUAGCGGUGCGGAACCGCUAUAAAAUCCGCAAACUUAAAAUUAAACGACAACAAACAAGUUGCGUACGCUGCCUAAUUAGGCAGCCGUCUUUUCCGGGAGUACCGCGGCCCGGAAUAAGGCGUCGAUGAGCGGUGCACGUGAACGGAGUGAUGCUUUUAACUUCGUCAUGACCUAAAAGCUACUGAAACACAGAGCCUGCCUAUGGGCGCUGUGCAGAGGGAAUGUUAAAACACAGGCUACACUCGUAGAAAGCUUUGGUAAGCGAUUUUCGGACGCGGGUUCGACUCCCGCCAUCUCCACCA
rnacentral:tmRNA from 1 species